rnacentral:rRNA from 1 species
UACGGAGGGUGCAAGCGUUAUCCGGAUUCACUGGGUUUAAAGGGUGCGUAGGUGGGUCUGUAAGUCAGUGGUGAAAUCUCCGAGCUUAACUUGGAAACUGCCAUUGAUACUAUAGAUCUUGAAUAUUGUGGAGGUCAGCGGAAUAUGUCAUGUAGCGGUGAAAAUGCUUAGAUAUGACAUAGAACACCAAUUGCGAAGGCAGCUCACUACACGAGCAUUGACUCUGAGGCACGAAAGCGUGGGGAUCAAACAGG